rnacentral:rRNA from 1 species
UGCAGUCGAGCGGUAACAGGGGUAGCUUGCUACCCGCUGACGAGCGGCGGACGGGUGAGUAAUGCAUAGGAAUCUGCCCGAUAGUGGGGGAUAACCUGGGGAAACCCAGGCUAAUACCGCAUACGUCCUACGGGAGAAAGGGGGCUCCGGCUCCCGCUAUCGGAUGAGCCUAUGUCGGAUUAGCUGGUUGGUGAGGUAACGGCUCACCAAGGCGACGAUCCGUAGCUGGUCUGAGAGGAUGAUCAGCCACAUCGGGACUGAGACACGGCCCGAACUCCUACGGGAGGCAGCAGUGGGGAAUAUUGGACAAUGGGGGGAACCCUGAUCCAGCCAUGCCGCGUGUGUGAAGAAGGCCCUCGGGUUGUAAAGCACUUUCAGUGAGGAAGAACGCCUGGUGGUUAAUACCCAUCAGGAAAGACAUCACUCACAGAAGAAGCACCGGCUAACUCCGUGCCAGCAGCCGCGGUAAUACGGAGGGUGCGAGCGUUAAUCGGAAUUACUGGGCGUAAAGCGCGCGUAGGUGGCUUGAUAAGCCGGUUGUGAAAGCCCCGGGCUCAACCUGGGAACGGCAUCCGGAACUGUCAAGCUAGAGUGCAGGAGAGGAAGGUAGAAUUCCCGGUGUAGCGGUGAAAUGCGUAGAGAUC